GGCCGUUUAGCUCAGUUGGAAGAGCGCUACGUUCACAUCGUAGAAGUCGGGGGUUCGAGUCCCUUAACGGCCA
rnacentral:tRNA from 1 species